UACUGGUCACAACUUGUUUUAAAAGUCAGAGCUGUCAAUCAUAGCUCUGAGGUAGUAACUGAUACUGAGCAUGUGUGCGUGAGGGAAUUCCUUGUAAGAAUAGAAAGGUAUGUUAAAGGAGAGCCACAGUGCACCAGGAAAGACCAGAUACUAGUGAACAGUUUUGGAAUCUAAGUCAGAGAGAGAGAGAUUUGAUCGGCAGAAGACGGAGGAAUUGAAAGCCAGUGAGGGGAGCAAAAGAAAAGCUGCUGGAAAGAAGUCAGAAAAUCUGCUGCAGAGAGAGAGAGAGAGAGAGGAGAAAACUGGAGUGGAGUCAAGCUGACUGAGCAGGCGCUGAGCAGCAACCGCAAUUAAAGAAGAAUACCAACAGAGUUAUAAAGCAACAACAGUAAUUUUAAAAGGGAAACCAACAGAUUUAUAAAGUAUUUCCAGGCUGUGCAGUUCCCUGACAAUACUGUCAUAUCCCCAACAAAUGAUGGACUGUCUAGGCAUACCUGCUUUGCUGCUCUCCUCAGAGAUGCUACACAGUGUAAUUGCCAUAGGGCUCACUGACUUCAGGAGGAGGUUGAGGACGCUCAGCAUCCCUCAGCAUUGGGCUAUGUACAGAAGAGAAAAUGAGGUUCUGCUUGGGGAAAAAGUAAAGCCAUACCUGGACUUCUACAUACUUCUGGAUUCCUCAGCACAAAGUGGUUGACAGAUCAGAAGAAACACU